UUUUUGGCGCGUCUAUACAUGCAGUCGAGCGAGCUGAAUUCAAAGAUCCCUUCGGGUGAUUUGUUGGACGCUAGCGGCGGAUGGGUGAGUAACACGUGGGCAAUCUGCCCUAAAGACUGGGAUACCACUUGGAAACAGGUGCUAAUACCGGAUAACAACAUGAAUCGCAUGAUUCAAGUUUGAAAGGCGGCGCAAGCUGUCACUUUAGGAUGAGCCCGCGGCGCAUUAGCUAGUUGGUGGGGUAAAGGCCUACCAAGGCAAUGAUGCGUAGCCGAGUUGAGAGACUGAUCGGCCACAUUGGGACUGAGACACGGCCCAAACUCCUACGGGAGGCAGCAGUAGGGAAUCUUCCACAAUGGACGUAAGUCUGAUGGAGCAACGCCGCGUGAGUGAAGAAGGUCUUCGGAUCGUAAAGCUCUGUUGUUGGUGAAGAAGGAUAGAGGCAGUAACUGGUCUUUAUUUGACGGUAAUCAACCAGAAAGUCACGGAUAACUACGUGCCAUCAGCCGCGGUAAUACGUACGUGGCAAGCGUUGUCCGGAUUUAUUGGGCGUAAAGCGAGCGCAGGCGGAAUGAUAAGUCUGAUGUGAAAGCCCACGGCUCAACCGUGGAACUGCAUCGGAAACUGUCAUUCUUGAGUGCAGAAGAGGAGAGUGGAACUCCAUGUGUAGCGGUGGAAUGCGUAGAUAUAUGGAAGAACACCAGUGGCGAAGGCGGCUCUCUGGUCUGCAACUGACGCUGAGGCUCGAAAGCAUGGGUAGCGAACAGGAUUAGAUACCCUGGUAGUCCAUGCCGUAAACGAUGAGCGCUAGGUGUUGGGGACUUUCCGGUCCUCAGUGCCGCAGCAAACGCAUUAAGCGCUCCGCCUGGGGAGUACGACCGCAAGGUUGAACUCAAAGGAAUUGACGGGGGCCCGCACAAGCGGUGGAGCAUGUGGUUUAUUUCGAAGCAUCGCGAAGAACCUACCAAGUCUUGACAUCCUGCGCUACCCCUAGAGAUAGGUGUUCCCUUCGUGGACGCAGAGACAGGUGUGCAUGGCUUGUCGUCAGCUUCGUGUCGUGAGAAGUUGGGUUAAUUCCCGCAACGAGCGCAACCCCUUGCUCUUUAGUUGGC
rnacentral:rRNA from 1 species